UAUAUGACUAGAUGUCACGUGUAUGAGUGAGUAUAACAACUAGAACCGCAACCGGAUUUUAAAAGCCUAAGUAUUGUAUCCUUGUUAGAAGAUAUAAAGACAAAGACUCAUACGAACUUCGGCUAUACUAUCAAAGCUUUGAGAAGCAAGAAGAAGCUUGGUUAGUGUUUUGGAGUCAAAUAUGAGUUGAUGUGAUG
rnacentral:sRNA from 1 species